rnacentral:rRNA from 1 species
UUAACACAUGCAAGUCGAACGAUGAUGCCCAGCUUGCUGGGUGGAUUAGUGGCGAACGGGUGAGUAACACGUGAGUAACCUGCCCCUGACUCUGGGAUAAGCGUUGGAAACGACGUCUAAUACUGGAUAUGAUUACCGGCCGCAUGGUCUGGUGGUGGAAAGAUUUUUUGGUUGGGGAUGGACUCGCGGCCUAUCAGCUUGUUGGUGAGGUAAUGGCUCACCAAGGCGACGACGGGUAGCCGGCCUGAGAGGGUGACCGGCCACACUGGGACUGAGACACGGCCCAGACUCCUACGGGAGGCAGCAGUGGGGAAUAUUGCACAAUGGGCGAAAGCCUGAUGCAGCAACGCCGCGUGAGGGAUGACGGCCUUCGGGUUGUAAACCUCUUUUAGUAGGGAAGAAGCGAGAGUGACGGUACCUGCAGAAAAAGCACCGGCUAACUACGUGCCAGCAGCCGCGGUAAUACGUAGGGUGCAAGCGUUGUCCGGAAUUAUUGGGCGUAAAGAGCUCGUAGGCGGUUUGUCGCGUCUGCUGUGAAAUCCCGAGGCUCAACCUCGGGCUUGCAGUGGGUACGGGCAGACUAGAGUGCGGUAGGGGAGAUUGGAAUUCCUGGUGUAGCGGUGGAAUGCGCAGAUAUCAGGAGGAACACCGAUGGCGAAGGCAGAUCUCUGGGCCGUAACUGACGCUGAGGAGCGAAAGCAUGGGGAGCGAACAGGAUUAGAUACCCUGGUAGUCCAUGCCGUAAACGUUGGGCGCUAGAUG